CACGGAACCGCGUCCAUCACUGGGGUGAGCUGCCCGACGGCACCAGCGCUCCCCUGGAGGUUGUGCUGCAGGACAAGGUGUCCAGUGGCUUCUCCGGUGUGGUCCAGCUGCUGGAGUGACCAGGACCCACCAUCUUCUUUAACUGGAGCUGUCAAAUCUUUCAGCUUUUGUAUGUUUUUGUGGAUGGAUUCAGAAUGAUCAGACAGGUUCAUACAACACACAAUCCUUCACAUUCCUCACAACCAUGUCCAUAUGCCAGUGAAAGAAAAUCAACUGCAGCUCUAUUUUGAAGGGUAGCAUGCCCAACACUAUUAACAUCUGUCAGCAUAUCACUGAUUGCAGUGGAUGUGGCAUUAGUUUGUUUACUCAGCCAAGAUCCAACCUGAUCUAAUUGUUUCAAUGCCCUGGCUGAUUGGGGUAAAAACCUGCUGAAACCCUUUUGGCAACAUUCCAAGGCAUGAAAUCACUCUUACAGUUUUCAUGGUAGUGAUGAGCAGAUCUUGUUCCCCUGUGUUUCUUCUUAAUGACUGCUUUAGCAGUAGGUGCUAUCACAGUGAGCAUUCCAAUGCUACAUGGGGCACCUUCAGGGUGUGAUGGGAUGCCCUGCCAAGCCCUAUCUCCACCAAUGAACUAACAUCCUUUUGGCAAUUGUCGUGGAUAUUGGUCAGCCUCGGAAAGCACGUCCCAACUGUUUGAAUAAUUACACCAAAACCUAGAAUUUCUAUAUGCAAAAUAAUGGGGAGUAACAUUGCACUUUGGAGGAUCACCUUCUUGCCAAUCAUUAGCUUCAAACGUAAGGCAGAAAUCCAUUGUUAAAAGACCAAGGAUUUCAAAUUCUUUGGGUUCAGGUCCUGCUUUGGGAAGUUCUUUGGUCCAAACGUUCCAAUCCACUACAGGAUUGCUCCAAUUGUCAAUAUCACCAGGCUUACUACUGAAUUGCUUUUUGACCAAGGGCAAAUCUUCUACUGGCACACUGACUAGACAUGUAGAGAAAAGCUUUUCUGGUUCCAAAUUAGACAAACUUAUGGUGUUUGAGCCUGCUGCCUGGUGGCUAAAGUCACCCAAACAUUUGGUUUUGGUUGUUCCGCUGGCAAAUCUGCACUACAAGAACCAAUUAAAACUAAGCAACACCAGUGUAUAAUUUGAUUUCACUCCAUCCUUUUCAUGAGCUAAUUUUCGGCAAAAGAUCUUCCCAUAUAUAUCAAUUUAAAAACUUUGGUUUUGACUUUUCAUUAAAAUUUUGCCUUUGAAAGUCCAAUAGAGGGGAUCUGUAACAUAAGAAAAUAAAACCCAUGCCUUUGCCAAAAAAGCUCUACGAAACCAACAACUGACACAUUUAUAAAUAGCAUAAAAUCAGAGUUUGCAGGUUCCACUGAUGAACAAGGAACGUCAGGCGUGACCUGUGAUCCUUCUGUUUGGCUCACGUCUGCAUACUUGAAUGAAUUGUCAUAAUUGCUUUUAAUCAAGGAGAGUACAUUGGCUAUUUUAGGCUUGGAAAUUUUCCUUUGGUUUGAAGAGGAAAGUAAUAAAGUCUCUUUGGCCACCAUUGAUUUCACUGCCACUAGCACAGAGUUAUUAUUAUCGUGGUGGGUGUAUUUAUCAAGACCCCAAGGCCCCUUGCCAUUAUGAUUUUGGUCUAUUUUUGAUGGAUUCUGCAAGCUGAGGUUUGAGUAGUUCCAAGUCUGUGUCUUAUGUUUCUAACUGACAUCUUUCAAAAGCAGAAUGAGCUCUCUCAUUCUGGCUUGUCAGCGUUAGAGCUUGGUUCUGCAUGAACCACAUUGGAUAAUGUUCAUCUGAUGCCUGGCCAAAUUCCACUGUAAUUCCUUGGCCUGAGGAAUAUCAGGAAGACCUGCUGAGCUCCAUGAACACUGUCAGCUGCAUGGAAGAGAACAUCCUUGGCUUUACUGAAGAAACUGGAGCUCAGCUUAGGUUAGAUACUCUUGAGCAGGAGAAAGGCUGGAAUCAUUUUCCUGAGGCCUGUGUGCCCAGAGGGACUGAGAUCUGGGGAGCAGCUGGGUGUUUCUGCACAUGGAUGUAAGGGGACUGCCAGGCAGCUGAAGCCUUAACACAGGCAAACACUCCCCAAGUCUUCUCAGGCAACACUUUUCUUCGGGUUUCAAAUUGUUCCCACUUGUCUGUCUGUGAAGAUGCCCCUAAAACCACAACGCAAGCCUCUCAGAACUGGUGUUACAUUUCCAGCAAUGAAGAAAAGAAACCCAAAGCCAACAAAGUUUCUAAAACAAUGAUUUUUAGAGAGGAACUUAAUUCCCUGUGCUGGAAGGCUGGACAUGAGGGUGUAAAUGGCUCAGUCUCUUCUGCUUCUUUUCCAGUGCUGCUGAAACACCUAGUGACCGAGUUUUUUCUCAUAGCCCAAGCCACGUUCUCCACGUCACCAAGCCAGAGCCUGGUGAUGUGGAGAGCCUGCCAAAACCUCCUGUUUGUUUCCUGGCACUUUUUGGGAUGGGCCUACCAUUAAUGCAUUGACUUGAGUAGCCAAAUGAGCAGAGAGCGACCAUAGGGAUGGCACCUCUCCUUCUUCUGACCAUGGAAAGUUUUCUUUUGCUGCAUAAGGGAAGCUGAAAUUUUCCGACUGCUGAGAGUCGAGCUGCAGGUGUUUCCUGUGUGCCCAAGCAGGCAUUUUCAUCCCAAUACAUUUCUGCAGGCAUCUUAAUGUGUCUGUGUGGAAUUUGAGAUUUAAAUGUUUGUUUCCUUACCUGAGGAAUACCUGGUGGAUUUCCUUUCUUUCCUUCCAAUUACCAUUGUUUUCAAGAACAAAGGAGAGAACUUGAUGAGUUUUGUUUUAUGGCAGCUCUGCUUAAGGGACCAACAAGCACUGCAGAGAUGCCUUUCUUGUACUAAUCCUUGGAAAUAGCAGAGUUAGUAUAGCAAAGUCACGCUUCCAAAAAGCCUAUCAAGCUGGUGUGAAUUCCCAGAGAAUCAAACGUGCUUUGCUGAUGUAGUUCCCACUUGUUAGGUCUGUCAUUGAAAUCAGCUGCCAAGGCAAGAUCUGCAGGAUGUUGGAAAAGCUGUGGGGUUUGGGUUUUUUGUAGGUGAAGGAAAGUCAUCUCUGGGUCUCUGCCAGGGCAGAAACUGCCACUGCAGAGUGGAGCUUAAACAAUGGGCUCAGGGAGAGCAGUUACAGAUGGGCAAAGCAGCAGGUGGAACCUCCCUGUUUCCUUUUUCCCCAGCCUCAAAUCCUGAUAGGCACAGGAGGGAAACUAAAGCUGCAGGAGCCCAAGAUGUUUUCACCUUGCCUGUGUGACUUCCUGAGCUGCUGCCUGCAGGCAGACGAGGCGCGGCGCUGGUCUGUCAAGGAGCUCCUGCAGCAUCCAUUUAUAACAUCUGCUGAGCCUGCAUCCAGCCUGGUGCCACUGAUUGUUUCCUUGAAGAAGAGGAAGGAGACAAGAAAGUGAAAAUCACAUCAGCACCACUUGUUUCUCAACCAGCUUAGAGCAGGAUUGUAGGUUAGGACAAGGUUAAGGGUUAGGGCUUGGUUAGAUUUAGGCUUGGUUUAGGCUUAGGUUUUGGCUUAGGCUUAGGUUUAGCCUUAGGCUUAGGCUUAGAUUUAGGCUUAGGCUUAGGCUUAGGUUUAGGCUUAGGCUUAGGCUUAGGACUAGGUUUAGGAGUAGGUUUAGGACUAGGGUUACAGUUAGAGUUAGUGUUAUGACUAGCUUUAGGUUUAGGGUUAGUGUUAGGGUUAGCGUUAGCAUUAGGGUUACAACUAAUCUUAGGGGGUUAGGGUUAGGGUAUGAUUGUCUAAUAGGUCUGCUGAGUAGGAUUUGAAAUUAAUAAAAUUUUUAAAACCAAAACUCUCCUUGUAAUUUCCUUCCUUCUUACUCUGUGAAUAAGCUCAUGAAUUCCUUGUAAAUUGUCUGUUGUUUGUUAAAGGAGGAAGUCACCCCCACAGUGUCUUUGGCAUGGUGUCAAAUUGGGGAAUGCUCUUCUUCAUUUAUCCUCUCCAGACCAUGCUGCUUUUGGAAUAUGACCCACUUGUCUGGUUUUGGUCUGCUGUGGUACCUCUAUUUGAGGUAGAAAGGGCAAUGGCGUUUGCAGGGAAAUACAAUGGAGGAAUGGGGCAGCCCAAAUACUCUAUGCGGAUGCAGGCUCUCUGCUGUGACUCAGGAGCAUUCAAGUUCCUGCCACUUAGAUUUGUAUCCCCAAGUGCAAUCUCUUUGGCAGAAGGAGAGCCUUGCUCAAGUGAGAAAGCAGAAGGAUCAGAGAGGGGGCUCUGAAAGGUCUCCUCUGGUGCAGA